rnacentral:rRNA from 1 species
AUGGCACAUGCUAGGAACAACACGCAAUUUCUGUGCUUGGCCGUAGCUCUUCUAGUCACGUUGGCCUCCUUGACCUGCAACGCCAAGGACACAGAUCCUAACACAUACAGUGAAUCUGUGUCGAAAUGCAAGAGACCGAUGGAUGAUUAUGGCAUGCGCAACUGCAACAAAGUAUAUUGUGCAAGGAACAACACGGAAACUAACAUAUACUGUCAAUCUAUGUGGGAAUGCAACAGACCAGUUCAUGAUUAUGACCAGCGCAAGUGCCGAAAAUUCUGCGUAAGCAUGGGCUACGACUACCUCAGGAGCUAUUGUGAGCACCACCCCUACCAUAAGUAA